rnacentral:siRNA from 1 species
UUGUGCAAAUUACCUUUUUUGG